rnacentral:rRNA from 1 species
CCUACGGGUGGCUGCAGUGGGGAAUAUUGGACAAUGGGCGAAAGCCUGAUCCAGCCAUGCCGCGUGUGUGAAGAAGGCCUUCGGGUUGUAAAGCACUUUCAGUGGGGAAGAAAGCCUUGGGGCUAAUACCCUCGAGGAAGGACAUCACCCACAGAAGAAGCACCGGCUAACUCCGUGCCAGCAGCCGCGGUAAUACGGAGGGUGCGAGCGUUAAUCGGAAUUACUGGGCGUAAAGCGCGCGUAGGCGGUCUGAUAAGCCGGUUGUGAAAGCCCCGGGCUCAACCUGGGAACGGCAUCCGGAACUGUCAGGCUAGGGUGCAGGAGAGGAAGGUAGAAUUCCCGGUGUAGCGGUGAAAUGCGUAGAGAUCGGGAGGAAUACCAGUGGCGAAGGCGGCCUUCUGGACUGACACUGACGCUGAGGUGCGAAAGCGUGGGUAGCAAACAGGAUUAGAUACCCGGGUAGUC